rnacentral:tRNA from 1 species
GGCUCUGUGGCGCAAUGGAUAGCGCAUUGGACUUCUAGACGAGUGAAGGCAUUCAAAGGUUGUGGGUUCGAGUCCCACCAGAGUCG